rnacentral:rRNA from 1 species
UACGUAGGGUGCAGGCGUAAUCGGAAUUACUGGGCGUAAAGCGUGCGCAGGCGGCUUCCUAAGUCAGAUGUGAAAUCCCCCGGGCUUAACCUGGGAACUGCGUUUGAAACUGGGAGGCUCGAGUGCGGCAGAGGGGGGUGGAAUUCCACGUGUAGCAGUGAAAUGCGUAGAUAUGUGGAGGAACACCGAUGGCGAAGGCAGCCCCCUGGGCCUGCACUGACGCUCAUGCACGAAAGCGUGGGGAGCAAACAGG